rnacentral:snRNA from 1 species
AUGCUUUUCUCGGCUUUUUUGGCUAAAAUAAAGUGUAGUAUCCACAGUUUAAUAUCUGGUAUGUGAACUAUAUGUCCACUUUAAUUUUAAAUUUUUUAUGUGAAGGGUCCACUUUAA